UACCAGCACCCCGAGGUGGUCGGGACGUUUAUUGGGCCUAAAGCAUCCGUAGCCGGUUCUACAAGUCUUCCGUUAAAUCCAACUGCUUAACAGGUGGGCUGCCGGAAGAUACUAUAGAGCUAGGAGGCGGGAGAGGCAAGCGGGUACUCGAAUGGGUGAGGGGUAAAAUCCGUUGAUCCAUUGAAGACCACCAGUGGCGAAGGCGGCUUGCCAGAACGCGCUCGACGGUGAGGGAUGAAAGCUGGGGGAGCAAACCGGAUUAGAUAACCCGGG
rnacentral:rRNA from 1 species